GGCCGAAGGCUGAAGCAGCAACGCCGCGUGGAGGAUGAAAUACUUUUGUAUGUAAACUCCUGUAAGAGGGGAAAAAUAUACAGUUUAUACUGUGUUGAUUGUACCCUCAGAGUAAGCACCGGCUAACUACGUGCCAGCAGCCGCGGUAAUACGUAGGGUGCUAGAGUUGUCCGGAUUUACUGGGUGUAAAGGGUGCUCAGGUGGGUUUGUAAGUCAGAGGUGAAAUCCCAAAGCUUAACUUUGGAGCUGCCUUUGAUACUGCAAGUCUGGAGUUUGGCAGAGGGA
rnacentral:rRNA from 1 species